UACAGAGGGGGCAAGCGUUGUUCGGAAUUACUGGGCGUAAAGGGCGCGUAGGCGGCCUGUUAAGUCGAACGUGAAAUCCCCGGGCUCAACCCGGGAACUGCGUCCGAUACUGGCAGGCUUGAAUCCGGGAGAGGGAUGCGGAAUUCCAGGUGUAGCGGUGAAAUGCGUAGAUAUCUGGAGGAACACCGGUGGCGAAGGCGGCAUCCUGGACCGGCAUUGACGCUGAGGCGCGAAAGCCAGGGGAGCAA
rnacentral:rRNA from 1 species